GGAAUCUUGCACAAUGGGCGAAAGCCUGAUGCAGCGACGCCGCGUGGGGGAUGAAGGCCCUAGGGUCGUAAACCCCUUUCAGCAGGGACGAAGAUGACGGUACCUGCAGAAGAAGCCCCGGCCAACUACGUGCCAGCAGCCGCGGUAAGACGUAGGGGGCGAGCGUUGUCCGGAUUUAUUGGGCGUAAAGAGCUCGUAGGCGGUUGCGUAAGUCGGAUGUGAAAACUCAGGGCUCAACCCUGAGACGCCAUCCGAUACUGCGCUGACUUGAAUCCAGUAGGGGAGUGCGGAAUUCCUGGUGUAGCGGUGAAAUGCGCAGAUAUCAGGAGGAACACCCAUGGCGAAGGCAGCACUCUGGGCUGGUAUUGACGCUGAGGAGCGAAAGCAUGGGUAGCGAACAGGAUUAGAUACCCUGGUAGUCCCUGAGCGGGCUGGCAAGGCGCAU
rnacentral:rRNA from 1 species